rnacentral:tRNA from 1 species
UGCGAGAUGGCUGAGGUUAAAGGCGGAAGACUGUAGAUUUUUUUACGAAGUUAAUUCUUCUCUUGCAA